rnacentral:misc_RNA from 1 species
GGAGAGCAUCCAUCAAGGACAUUAUUCGUUCGAAAUAUUAACAGCAAUGUAGAGGACUCGGAGUUGAAAUCCCUCUUUGAGCAAUUUGGUGAUAUCAGAACCCUAUAUACUGCAUGCAAGCAUAGGGGCUUUGUGAUGAUAUCUUACUAUGACAUCCGAGCUGCUCGAACUGCAAUGCGUGCUCUACAAAAUAAGCCCUUGAGACGAAGAAAGC